CGCGGGGUGGAGCAGUUCGGUAGCUCGCUGGGCUCAUAACCCAGAGGUCGCAAGUUCAAAUCUUGCCCCCGCAACGA
rnacentral:tRNA from 2 species